rnacentral:lncRNA from 1 species
UGCCGAAAGGAAAAGAUAUGCAAAUCUGAAAGAAAUCUUGAUUUAAAGCAAAGUCGUUGUAAUACAUUUACAGAUUUUUUAAAUCCCAUGGUCGUAGAAGGUCUGCACCCCAUCGAGGUCCUCCAGAGAUGGAGUUGAUGAUCCCGAUUGGAGGCCGAUCUCCAGGCUGCUCUUCCCUCCUCGGUGGCUCAGGUUGUGGCAGGGCCCUUGGCCGAUCCUCUCUACCCUCAGGGCGACGUCGAAUGAACCUAUCGAGCCGACCUCAUCUGAUGAGCUCCUCGAUCUCGUCUCAGAGUUGAAUGCAUUUUUCUAUGUCGUGGCUGUGGUCGCGAUGGU